UACGUAGGGUGCGAGCGUUAAUCGGAAUUACUGGGCGUAAAGCGUGCGCAGGCGGUUAUGUAAGACAGAUGUGAAAUGCCCGGGCUCAACCUGGGAACUGCAUUUGUGACUGCAUGGCUAGAGUUUGGCAGAGGGGGGUAGAAUUCCACGUGUAGCAGUGAAAUGCGUAGAUAUGUGGAGGAAUACCGAUGGCGAAGGCAGCCCCCUGGGUCAAGACUGACGCUCAUGCACGAAAGCGUGGGGAGCAAACAGG
rnacentral:rRNA from 1 species